rnacentral:rRNA from 1 species
UUUAGUUGCCAUCAUUGAGUUGGGCACUCUAAGGAGACUGCCGGUGUCAAACCGGAGGAAGGUGGGGAUGACGUCAAGUCCUCAUGGCCUUUAUGACCAGGGCUACACACGUACUACAAUGGCCGGUACAAAGGGCAGCGACACAGCGAUGUGAAGCGAAUCCCGAAAAGCCGGUCUCAGUCCGGAUUGGAGUCUGCAACCCGACUCCAUGAAGUUGGAAUCGCUAGUAAUCGCGGAUCAGCAUGCCGCGGUGAAUACGUUCCCGGGCCUU